AAUUACAGACAAUGUUAAUCUAACAAAUAAAUUUUAAUCAUUAAUAAGGGAACUAAUUCAUAUCAUGCAUAAAAUAAUAACAAAUAGCAAGUACAAGCAAUAAUAAAUUAAUAGGGAAAAUAAGAAAGGUUAAUAAACACAGAAAUGGGUUAGAAAUUAAUCAAGAUAGACUAACUAAAUAUUAACAACAAGACAUGACUGAACUCGGUGCAGAGGAAUAAAGUUAUGCUACACGAAAAUAACUGGUAACACAAUACACAAAACAUUAACUAAAUUAAACAAGACUUACAUAAAUGCAAGUCACGUAUAAUCAAAACAAUGACUAUUGAAAUUCGGUGACAAUACAAUCCAUGCUAUCACAUUAAAGUAGCACACGGUAUUGACACAGACAAUAUCAUGAAAGACAAAACAAUAUUACAAAAACACUACUAAAUAAAAUUAUAAUGAUUAACAAUUAAUUAGCUAUUUCAACAACACGUUACUGUUGACAUUAAACCAACGCCAUACCAAAGAGACACGCGAGCGGCCAUGUUGAAAAAUUCGUCGCACAUACAAAUAAUAGCCAAUGCAAUGUAAUACAGCAUCAUAAUAGCAAUGUUAGGUACUAAUAAAAAAAACAAACAAAAAAAGAGAGAGAUAAGGAAAAUAUAUAUAUAAUAAAUAACAACUAACAUAAUCAUAACAUAUUAUAUAUAUUAUAUUAUAUACAGGGAUACAGUCUUCGUACAAAGGAACAGGUCCAAACGAAACUUAUAAAAAAAAAAAAAAAAAAAAAAAAAAAAAAAAAAUAAAAAUAAAAAUAAAAAUAAAUAAUA